rnacentral:rRNA from 1 species
UACGAAGGGGGCUAGCGUUGCUCGGAAUCACUGGGCGUAAAGCGCACGUAGGCGGCUUUCUAAGUCAGGGGUGAAAUCCUGGAGCUCAACUUCGGAAUUGCCUUUGAUACUGAGAAUCUUGAGUAUGGGAGAGGUGAGUGGAACUGCGAGUGUAGAGGUGAAAUUCGUAGAUAUUCGCAAGAACACCAGUGGCGAAGGCGGCUCACUGGCCCAUAACUGACGCUGAGGCACGAAAGCGUGGGGAGCAAACAGG